rnacentral:lncRNA from 10 species
UACCAAUACUUUGGGAGGCCAGGGUAGGAAAAUCCCUUGAGUGCAGGAGUUCAAGGUCAGCCGUGGCAACAUACUGAGCCAGUAAUUGAAAAUAAGGUGGCCAGAUGCGCUGGCUCAUGCCCGUAAUCCCAGCACUGUGGGAGGCAGAGGUGGGUGGAAUCACUUGAGCCUAGCAAUUUGAGACCAACCUGGGCAACAUAAGAAGACCCCAUCUAUACAAAAAAUAAAAGAAAUGAGCCAAAUGUGGUGGUGGGAACCCUGUAAUUCCAGCUACUUGAGAGGCUGAAGCAGGAGAAUCACUUGAGCCCUGGAGGUUGAGGCUUCAAUGAGCUAUGAUUGCACCACUGCACACCAGCUUGGACAACAGAGCGAGGCCCUGUCUCUUAAAUAGAAAAGAAAAAAAACCUGUUUUUCUAAGUUCUGUGAGUUGUUCUAGUAAAUAAUUAAACUCAAGAAGAGGGUCAUGGGAAACCCCGAUUUCUAACUGGUUGGUCAAAAUACAGGUGACAACCUAGGACUUGCAACUGGCAUCUGAAGUGAGGGUGGUCUUGUGGGACUGAGCCCCUAACCUGUGGGUUCUGUGCUAACUCUAGGUAGUGUCAGAAUGGAAUUGUGGGAUACGCGGUUGGUAUCCAGAGAGUUGGAGAACUGGUGUAGAAACUCUGCACACACAUUUGGUCAGAAGUCUGUGAGUAGAGAGAAACGUGUUGCGGGAAGUCAGGGACCCCAAACGGAGGGACUGGCUGAAGCCAUGGCAGAAGAACAUAAAUUGUGAAGAUUUCAUAGACAUUUGUUAGUUCCCCAAAUUAAUACUUCUAUAAUUUCUUAGGCCUGUCUUUACUGCAAUCUCUGAACAUAAAUUGUGAAGAUUUCAUGGACACUUAUCACUUCCCCAAUCAAUACCCUUGUGAUUUCCUAUGCCUGUCUUUACUUUAAUCUCUUAAUCCGGUCACCUUCGUAAGCUGAGGAUGAUGUCCCCGCAGGACCCUGUGAUAAUUGCGUUAACUGCACAAGUUGUUUAAACAAUAUGAAACCUGGGCACCUUGAAAAAAGAACAGGAUAACAGCAAUUUCAGGGAACAAGGGAGAUAACCUUAAACUCUGGCUGCCUGUGGGCCGGGUGGAACAGAGCCAUAUUUCUCUUCUUUCAAAAGCAAAUAGGAGAAAUAUUGCUGAAUUCUUUUUCUCAGCAAAGAACAUCCCUGAGAAAGAGAAUGCAUCCCUAAGGGGAGGCCUCUGAAAUGGCCGCUUUGGGGACAGCUGUCUUUUACAGUCGUAGAUAAGGGACGAAAUAAGCCCUGGGUUCGCGUGGCGCUCCCAGGCUUAUCAGGACAAGGAAAUUCCCGCCUAAUAAAUUUUGGUCAGAUGGGUUGUCUGCUCUCAAACCCUUUCUCCUGAUAAGAUGUUAUCAAUGAAAAUGCGUGCCCGAAACUUCAUUAGCAAUUUUAAUUUCGCCCCGGUCCUGUGGUCUUGCCCUGCCUCCAUUUGCCUUGUGAUAUUUUAUUACCUUGUGAAGCAUGUGAUCUCUGUGACCCACACCCUAUUCGUACACUCCCUCCCCUUUUGAAAAUCACUAAUAAAAACUUGUUGGUUUUGCAGCUUGGGGGGGCAUCACGGAACCUGCUGACGUGUGAUGUCUCCCCUGGACACCCAGCUUUAAAAUUUCUCUCUUUUGUACUCUUUCCCUUUAUUUCUCAGACCGGCUGACACUCAGGGAAAAUAGAAAAGAACCUACAUGAAAUAUCAGGGGUGAAUUUCCCCCGAUAUCACACAGGCUCUUCUCUCACCUGUCUACCUGCUUAACUUAAUAGGAGAGGCAAUGCAUGGUGCUCAUGAACAAGGCAAGCAUUAAAGUCAGACCAGACUAACAUUUGACUCAGUCCUAAUAUUCAGGUGAGCUUGGGCAAAUCGCUCAUUAACCCCAAGUCUUCAUCAUUUUGUGCAUAUAAUGGGGAUAACUGUGGCACCCAACUGUUUUUGUGAGAAUCAAUGAAAUAUUAUGCUUGAUGUUAUUGUGAUCAUGAUACUAUCUGACAAGGGUAGUGAUGCAUGAUAACAUCAAAAAAUUAGAAACUGUAAUGAGGUCUCUUGGGCAAAAUUCCAUACAAGCAAAUUACUCUCUACAAAGCAUUUCUGCCACACUUAAUUCACCAUUCCCUGAACAAAAUGUGCCAUCUUCAUUGUUCAGGACUGUAUAGUGCUGGUUUCCCUGCCUGGGCAGCUCACUCCAUCCUAUCCCAGC